rnacentral:tRNA from 1 species
GGCGUGGUGGCCAAGUGGUAAGGCGUCGUUCUCGUAAACCGAAGAUCAUGGGUUCAAACCCCAUUCACGCAUAGCA